rnacentral:rRNA from 1 species
GAUGAACGCUGGCGGCGUGCCUAAUACAUGCAAGUCGAGCGAACAGACGAGGAGCUUGCUCCUCUGACGUUAGCGGCGGACGGGUGAGUAACACGUGGAUAACCUACCUAUAAGACUGGGAUAACUUCGGGAAACCGGAGCUAAUACCGGAUAAUAUAUUGAACCGCAUGGUUCAAUAGUGAAAGACGGUUUUGCUGUCACUUAUAGAUGGAUCCGCGCCGCAUUAGCUAGUUGGUAAGGUAACGGCUUACCAAGGCGACGAUGCGUAGCCGACCUGAGAGGGUCAUCGGCCACACUGGAACUGAGACACGGUCCAGACUCCUACGGGAGGCAGCAGUAGGGAAUCUUCCGCAAUGGGGGAAAGCCUGACGGAGCAACGCCGCGUGAGUGAUGAAGGUCUUCGGAUCGUAAAACUCUGUUAUUAGGGAAGAACAAAUGUGUAAGUAACUAUGCACGUCUUGACGGUACCUAAUCAGAAAGCCACGGCUAACUACGUG